GACGAACGCUGGCGGCGUGCCUAAUACAUGCAAGUAGAACGCUGAAGAGAGGAGCUUGCUCUUCUUGGAUGAGUUGCGCACGGGUGAGUAACGCGUAGGUAACCUGCCUUGUAGCGGGGGAUAACUAUUGGAAACGAUAGCUAAUACCGCAUAACAAUGGAUGACACAUGUCAUUUAUUUGAAAGGGGCAAUUGCUCCACUACAAGAUGGACCUGCGUUGUAUUAGCUAGUAGGUGAGGUAAUGGCUCACCUAGGCGACGAUACAUAGCCGACCUGAGAGGGUGAUCGGCCACACUGGGACUGAGACACGGCCCAGACUCCUACGGGAGGCAGCAGGAGGGAAACUUCGGCAAGGGGGGCAACCCUGACCGAGCAACGCCGCGUGAGGGAAGAAGGGUUUCGGAUCGUAAAGCUCGGUUGUAAGUCAAGAACGGGUGUGAGAGUGGAAAGUUCACACUGUGACGGUAGCUUACCAGAAAGGGACGGCUAACUACGUG
rnacentral:rRNA from 1 species